rnacentral:SRP_RNA from 1 species
CCCGGAAGUCGGUGGGCGGGGUUGUCGCCAACCUGGUCAGGUCCGGAAGGAAGCAGCCACAACGAUUUCGCCCCGGGUCAUCGGCUUCCACCGCA